CCUAUUGGCAAGGAGUAGUUGGUAAGCGCCGAUAGGAAGUCAGCUGAUCCCAUAGUAGUUUGCCUUAUAAUUAAAGCAGACGAAGGGG
rfam:Candidate division Kazan bacterium RIFCSPLOWO2_01_FTLL_48_13 rifcsplowo2_01_scaffold_1952, whole genome shotgun sequence.